AUUAUGCAUAAAUAUGAACAAUACCGUUGCUGUCAACGGGCUUAUCUGCUAAUGUUAGCUACCAAUUGUUACCU